AGAGUUUGAUCCCGGCUCAGAAUCAACGCUGGCGGCGCGCCUAACACAUGCAAGUCGAACGAGAAAGGGGGAGCAAUCCCCUGAGUAAAGUGGCGUACGGGUGAGUAACACGUGGGUCAUCUACCCUUUAGUGGGGAAUAACCCUGGGAAACCGGGGCUAAUACCGCAUAAGCCCGAGAGGGGAAAGCCGAAAGGCGCUGAAGGAGGAGCCCGCGGCCGAUUAGCUAGUUGGUGGGGUAACGGCUCACCAAGGCGACGAUGGGUAGCCGGCCUGAGAGGGCACACGGCCACACUGGCACUGAAACACGGGCCAGACUCCUACGGGAGGCAGCAGUGGGGAAUCUUGCACAAUGGGGGAAACCCUGAUGCAGCGACGCCGCGUGAGCGAUGAAGCCCUUCGGGGUGUAAAGCUCUUUCGGCAGGAACGAUAAUGACGGUACCUGCAGAAGAAGCUGCGGCUAACUACGUGCCAGCAGCCGCGGUAAUACGUAGGCAGCAAGCGUUGUUCGGAAUUACUGGGCGUAAAGAGUAUGUAGGCGGUUCUGUAAGUUCGGUGUGAAAUCUCCCGGCUCAACUGGGAGGGUGCGCCGAAAACUGCAGGGCUAGAGUGUGGGAGAGGAAAGCGGAAUUCCUGGUGUAGCGGUGAAAUGCGUAGAUAUCAGGAGGAACACCGGCGGUGUAGACGGCUUUCUGGACCAUUACUGACGCUGAGAUACGAAAGCGUGGGGAGCAAACAGGAUUAGAUACCCUGGUAGUCCACGCC
rnacentral:rRNA from 1 species